GCCCUGUACUUUUAAAAUUUUAUCUUUAAAUAUUUUGUUCAGUUUUCCCCCAGCUGCCUCAAUCCCAUCAGGCUUCAGUGGUACUGAGAUGGGCCAGAGAGCAGCUGACAUGCAGGGAUAGCUUGAGUCUGUGUUCCUGGGUGAGCCAAGAAGGGGAGCCAAGGUGGUUGCAUGCAACGGCUUAGCCAUGAACAGCAUGGACUGAUGGUUGGAAGAGCAGGUAUCUGUGGCUGUGAUCUGACAUUUUCAAGCUGAGACC
rnacentral:snoRNA from 1 species